AUGCUUUGUCCAAGGGAGGAGGACAGCAUGUGUGAGCGAGCCUGAGAUGUGCCCGCAUAGAGAGCAAAACUACUGAUGCUUUCUAUUUUGCUUGGUUGCAGACAGGUCUACGAGGGGAGUCCCCCACCACUGGAAGAUGGCCUUGGCUAUAUCGGGGUGAAGGAACCACUCUUUCCAAAGCAAGAGGAGCUGUUGGCUAUAUCGGGGUGAAGGAACCACUCGUUCCGAAGCAAGAGGAGCUGUUUCAACGACUGUUGUGGGUGUCCCCUGAAGUCAUGAAUGAUCACCUCUUGAUCUACGAUUUAUGCCCACCACAGAAGUCUACUGCAGCAAGAUGUUGGCUUGGCGGAUGGAAGUAUUAGACCCCAUGAAGAGAAAUGGAGGAAGUUCACAUCUUAGUGUUACUGUUCUGGGCCUUGAUCCUGUGAUGGCAUCCAGAUAGAUGGACCUUUUCACCCAUGCAGAGACUAAGGCCACGUCUACACUACCCGCCGGAUUGGCGGGUAGUGAUCGAUCUAUCGGGGAUCGAUUUAUCGCGUCUAGCGAUAGCUCUGCCGUCGACUCCGGAACUCCACCAGGGCGAGAGGCGGAAGCGGAGUUGAUGGGGAGCAGCAGCCGUCGAUCCCGCGCUGUGAGAACGCGAAGUAAGUGAUUCUAAGUCGAUCUCGUAGCUAUUCUCGUAGCUGAAGUUGCGUAUCUUAGAUCAAUCCCCCCACCCCCAGUGUAGACCAGGCCUUAGGCCCCCUAUGUCCUAUGAAGAUUUACCCAAGGGCUUAAUUUAAAAAGCAUGAGCUGUUCCAUUGAAAUCAAUGGGACUCAGGCCCUUAGUCACUUAAGGAUUCAAAUCCAA